CAGCCCCGGCCGCUGGGCGCACCCGUCCCGUUCGUCCCCGGACGUUGCUCUCUACCCCGGGAACGUCGAGACUGGAGCGCCCGAACUGAGCCACCUUCGCGGACCCCGAGAGCGGCGGCGCGACUCACCGCGGAGGCGCCCGGACGCGUCAAGCCCAGCCCAAUAGGAAGCACCUGAUCCACACUCUUUCUAGCCCCAGGGAUGCUCAGGAAAGCAGCCUUUCUUUAGGGCUGUCAUCUGUUCUGGGGAUCUGUUGCUGUUUCUUGGGCCCACAGAAUACACUCCACACCUCGGGACUCCAUAAUAUUGGACAAGGCUGGAAGGCCCAUUUGGCUCCUGCAGCCUCUUAUGCAGGAGGACCUCCUGAGGCUUCGGGCAGGAGCUGGUGCACACCUGGAGGAGAGUGCUGGUGAAUGGCAGGUGUGUGCCUCAGUGUCCUUGCUGCCAGGGUGUCAGCCCUGCUUCACCACUGGCCGUUUGUCUCUGUCCCCUCCACUGGCCUCUUGAAGCACAGAGACCCUCCGGUCAUCCUCUUCAGCGGUCCUCCCAGAGCUGUCCUCAGCAUGGCAGCCUCCACAGCCCCUGGGUGUCACCCCCGGUUUCGUGUCUGCCUCGGACUCCAGACCUGCCCCUCCCAGGCUGGCCCAGAUGGAUCCUCUACAGUGACUAACCCAAACCAGCACCAGGCAGGGACCCAAUAAACCUUUGUGAA
rnacentral:lncRNA from 1 species